GAGGGUAUAGCUCAAGCAGUAGAGUGUGUGCUUAGCAUGCACAAGGUCCUGGGUUCAAUCCCCAGUACCGCCU
rfam:Camelus ferus unplaced genomic scaffold scaffold1683, whole genome shotgun sequence.